rnacentral:rRNA from 1 species
UGGGGAAUAUUGCACAAUGGGCGCAAGCCUGAUGCAGCCAUGCCGCGUGUGUGAAGAAGGCCUUCGGGUUGUAAAGCACUUUCAGCGGGGAGGAAGGGAGUAAAGUUAAUACCUUUACUCAUUGACGUUACCCGCAGAAGAAGCACCGGCUAACUCCGUGCCAGCAGCCGCGGUAAUACGGAGGGUGCAAGCGUUAAUCGGAAUUACUGGGCGUAAAGCGCACGCAGGCGGUUUGUUAAGUCAGAUGUGAAAUCCCCGGGCUCAACCUGGGAACUGCAUCUGAUACUGGCAAGCUUGAGUCUCGUAGAGGGGGGUAGAAUUCCAGGUGUAGCGGUGAAAUGCGUAGAGAUCUGGAGGAAUACCGGUGGCGAAGGCGGCCCCCUGGACGAAGACUGACGCUCAGGUGCGAAAGCGUGGGGAGCAAACAGG